UUGCUAUAUAUGACCUGAUGAAAACUUUAUAGUUACGGAUUCAUAACCAGCACAAAAAAGCCUAUCAAACACAGCUUCAACAUUUGCCGCAUCAAAAUCGGUGUUGCUCUGUGUUACCUACGCUAAUUAUAUAAAGAGAA